rnacentral:misc_RNA from 1 species
UUAAGUUCAGCGGGUAUCCCUACCUGAUCCGAGGUCAACCAUAGAAGUUGGGGUUAUGGCAAGCCACCACCGGACCCUAGAGCGAGAGAUGUACUACGCUUAGAGCCAGAUGGCGCCGCCACUGAUUUUGAGGCCGGCCGCAACGGGCAUGGCCCAACACCAAGCAGAGCUUGAGGGUUGAAAUGACGCUCGAACAGGCA